CACCAUCCUCCACCCUGCCAUCCCAUUCAAGAAUAUACCCAGUUGCUGCAAUCCAGGCUUCAGAAGCUUCUGGACACCCAUGGAGCUGGAGACUCUACCCGGAACCUUGGCCAGGCGCCACAGCUGAAGCAGCAAGAGAAUGGGACCCAUCUCACUGCUGCCUUCCAAAUCUCACACUAGGACAUGUGAUGAAUGGCACCUAAUUUGCAUGCGGAACCCCAGCUGAGCGGGGAUGAGGAUGCAGAUUUCCAUUCUGCAGGCUUUGCAGCACAGGGAUGCAGCCUGAAGGGAUCCUGAAUGGGGACUGGUUCACCGUGACCCACACAGGUGGGUGCAGAGCACCUCCAGCAACAAAGUCGGCACUUUGGUUUGGCCAACAAGGGGGAAGAGAAGCUCUCUGUGUUUCCUGCUAGGUGUGAGCAUCAGAAGAAGAAGGUUAGUAGCUACUGGAAGCCAUCCUGACAUCAUGUAAGGUCUGAGAAUGAAGCCGCUGUGAGGUGGAGAACAGAGCCAAUUUGAGAGAUCCGAAAGAUCAGAUGCCAAUUAAAGGCUCAGACAGGGGAGGCAACUUAUUCAAGGUCACACACCUGGAGUGAGGGGCGGAGCUGAAACAAGACCACCGACUACCUGACUCCCAGUGCAGACUUUUCCCCAUUAUUGUGAUCCUUGGUCUCCAUAGAGCCUGCCAUCCUUCCCCCGACCCCGACAGCCCUCCCUCUGCAGCUGGCAGGGUUCCACAGGCCCUGUUUAUUGAAGGAGCUGAUUGGCCCGACCCCUCCGCAUGCUCGGAGCUCCCGUAGCAGGAGGCCCUGGCAGGAAAGCACCAGAACGCACUUCCGCUGCCAGCCUGGUGGAGCCCUUGUGCGUGAGAAUAACUCCUAGCUGCAGCCUGGCUCGUGAGGAGCUCAGGGCUGGCUUGAAAACACCCUGUGGGUCCUCUCCGAGGGCCGCUGAGAUGCGGUCACACCGGUUUAGGCUACUUUAAAGCUCCGGAAACCAAGGGAGGUGAGGUGGCGUGAACCGGCGGUGGGCUCUGAGGGCAGGAAGAAACAGAGGCUCAGAGAAAGUAAGGAGCUUGCUCAAGGUGACACAGCAGAACUGGGAUUUGAACCAGCAUCCUGCUGGACUUGGCAGAGGAUACAGGGUGGCAUCGGAUGUGAGCCCAGUCCUAAGGAACAGAUCUUCGCUUUAGGCAAAAAGAAGCAAACCCGUUAAAAAGGGACCAGAAAGCUAGAUAAUCAACAUCAACAAAUCCAAAAGUAGUUUCCAGUUGGUUUGGAAUGCAGCUGAUUUGACUUCUUAAUUAUGUCGGACGCACAUCACCUGAGCCAGGUGGGAAACCAUCAUGGACUGCAAGCAUUCCCGUGGUAGAGAAAGAAGAGCCUUGAGGGCGGGGCACAUCCAGGUGAGUCCUGUACGCCUUGUUAUUUACACUAGAGUGUGUGACCUUGGGCAUAGCUUCUCUUUAUCUUAGCUCCUGUGUUCUGUAAAUGAAGGAUGCAUUCCCUCCUGUUGCUUAAGGACCAAGUGAGCUAGCCCAGGUGUAGCAGACACUAUGGGUGCUGAAUCCAGACCUCCUUAGAGCCCUCUGACUGGU